rnacentral:rRNA from 4 species
AGACCCGAAACCCGGUGAUCUAGCCAUGGGCAGGUUGAAGGUUGGGUAACACUAACUGGAGGACCGAACCGACUAAUGUUGAAAAAUUAGCGGAUGACCUGUGGCUGGGGGUGAAAGGCCAAUCAAACCGGGAGAUAGCUGGUUCUCCCCGAAAGCUAUUUAGGUAGCGCCUCGUGAAUUCAUCUCCGGGGGUAGAGCACUGUUUCGGCUAGGGGGCCAUCCCGGCUUACCAACCCGAUGCAAACUGCGAAUACCGGAGAAUGUUAUCACGGGAGACACACGGCGGGUGCUAACGUCCGUCGUGAAGAGGGAAACAACCCAGACCGCCAGCUAAGGUCCCAAAGUCAUGGUUAAGUGGGAAACGAUGUGGGAAGGCCCAGACAGCCAGGAUGUUGGCUUAGAAGCAGCCAUCAUUUAAAGAAAGCGUAAUAGCUCACUGGUCGAGUCGGCCUGCGCGGAAGAUGUAACGGGGCUAAACCAUGCACCGAAGCUGCGGCAGCGAACGUAUCACCCAAGACAACUUUACGGAGUUGACGAUUGACGGAGCGAAGCGACGUCAAAGCGUUCAUUAAAGUCGAGUUGGCUUAGGGAUACGUUCGUUGGGUAGGGGAGCGUUCUGUAAGCCUGUGAAGGUGUGUCGUGAGGCAUGCUGGAGGUAUCAGAAGUGCGAAUGCUGACAUAAGUAACGAUAAAGCGGGUGAAAAGCCCGCUCGCCGGAAGACCAAGGGUUCCUGUCCAACGUUAAUCGGGGCAGGGUGAGUCGACCCCUAAGGCGAGGCCGAAAGGCGUAGUCGAUGGGAAACGGGUUAAUAUUCCCGUACUUGGUGUUACUGCGAAGGGGGGACGGAGAAGGCUAUGUUGGCCGGGCGACGGUUGUCCCGGUUUAAGCGUGUAGGUGUGUGUUCCAGGUAAAUCCGGUUCACUUUAACACUGAGGCGUGACGACGAGGCACUACGGUGCUGAAGCAACAAAUGCCCUGCUUCCAGGAAAAGCCUCUAAGCAUCAGGUAACACGAAAUCGUACCCCAAACCGACACAGGUGGUCAGGUAGAGAAUACCAAGGCGCUUGAGAGAACUCGGGUGAAGGAACUAGGCAAAAUGGUGCCGUAACUUCGGGAGAAGGCACGCUGACACGUAGGUGAAGUGAUUUACUCAUGGAGCUGAAGUCAGUCGAAGAUACCAGCUGGCUGCAACUGUUUAUUAAAAACACAGCACUGUGCAAACACGAAAGUGGACGUAUACGGUGUGACGCCUGCCCGGUGCCGGAAGGUUAAUUGAUGGGGUCAGCGUAAGCGAAGCUCCUGAUCGAAGCCCCGGUAAACGGCGGCCGUAACUAUAACGGUCCUAAGGUAGCGAAAUUCCUUGUCGGGUAAGUUCCGACCUGCACGAAUGGCGUAAUGAUGGCCAGGCUGUCUCCACCCGAGACUCAGUGAAAUUGAACUCGCUGUGAAGAUGCAGUGUACCCGCGGCAAGACGGAAAGACCCCGUGAACCUUUACUAUAGCUUGACACUGAACAUUGAGCCUUGAUGUGUAGGAUAGGUGGGAGGCUUUGAAGUGUGGACGCCAGUCUGCAUGGAGCCGACCUUGAAAUACCACCCUUUAAUGUUUGAUGUUCUAACGUGGACCCGUAAUCCGGGUUGCGGACAGUGUCUGGUGGGUAGUUUGACUGGGGCGGUCUCCUCCUAAAGAGUAACGGAGGAGCACGAAGGUUGGCUAAUCCUGGUCGGACAUCAGGAGGUUAGUGCAAUGGCAUAAGCCAGCUUGACUGCGAGCGUGACGGCGCGAGCAGGUGCGAAAGCAGGUCAUAGUGAUCCGGUGGUUCUGAAUGGAAGGGCCAUCGCUCAACGGAUAAAAGGUACUCCGGGGAUAACAGGCUGAUACCGCCCAAGAGUUCAUAUCGACGGCGGUGUUUGGCACCUCGAUGUCGGCUCAUCACAUCCUGGGGCUGAAGUAGGUCCCAAGGGUAUGGCUGUUCGCCAUUUAAAGUGGUACGCGAGCUGGGUUUAGAACGUCGUGAGACAGUUCGGUCCCUAUCUGCCGUGGGCGCUGGAGAACUGAGGGGGGCUGCUCCUAGUACGAGAGGACCGGAGUGGACGCAUCACUGGUGUUCGGGUUGUCAUGCCAAUGGCACUGCCCGGUAGCUAAAUGCGGAAGAGAUAAGUGCUGAAAGCAUCUAAGCACGAAACUUGCCCCGAGAUGAGUUCUCCCUGAGACUUAGAGUCUCCUGAAGGAACGUUGAAGACGACGACGUUGAUAGGCCGGGUGUGUAAGCGCAGCGAUGCGUUGAGCUAACCGGUACUAAUGAACCGUGAGGCUUAACCUUACA